rnacentral:rRNA from 1 species
UACGUAGGGGGGCAAGCGUUGUCCGGAUUUAUUGGGCGUAAAGAGCGUGUAGGCGGCCAGACAGGUCAGCUGUGAAAACUCGAGGCUCAACCUCGAGACGUCGGUUGAAACCGUCUGGCUAGAGUCCGGAAGAGGAGAGUGGAAUUCCCGGUGUAGCGGUGAAAUGCGCAGAUAUCGGGAAGAACACCCGUGGCGAAGGCGGCUCUCUGGGACGGUACUGACGCUGAGACGCGAAAGCGUGGGGAGCGAACAGG